CGGGGUGCAGCAGGCGCGAAAACUUUACACUGCUGGAAACCGCGAUAAGGGGACCUCGAGUGCCAGGAUAUAAUGUUGGCUGUCCUGAUGCCCAAAUAACAUUUGUUAGCAAGGGCCGGGCAAGACCGGUGCCAGCCGCCGCGGUAACACCGGCGGCUCGAGUGGUAACCGUUAUUAUUGGGUUUAAAGGGUCUGUAGCCGGCCUAAUAAGUCUCUUGGGAAAUCUGACAACUCAAUUGUCAGGCUUUCAAGAGAUACUGUUCGGCUCGAGACCGGGAGAGGUGAGAGGUACUUCAGGGGUAGGGGUGAAAUCUUGUAAUCCUUGAAGGACCACCAAUGGCGAAGGCGUCUCACCAGAACGGUCCUGACGGUGAGGGACGAAAGCUGGGGGCACGAACCGGAUUAGAUACCCGGGUAGUCCUAGCCGUAAACGAUACUCGCUAGGUGUCAGGCACGGUGCGACCGUGUUCGGUGCCGUAGGGAAGCCUUGAAGCGAGUCACCUGGGAAGUACGGCCGCAAGGCUGAAACUUAAAGGAAUUGGCGGGGGAGCAC
rnacentral:rRNA from 1 species